rnacentral:rRNA from 1 species
ACAAUGGAGAGUUUGAUCCUGGCUCAGGAUGAACGCUAGCGGCAGGCCUAAUACAUGCAAGUCGUGGGGCAGCAGGUGUAGCAAUACAUGCUGGCGACCGGCGCAAGGGUGCGUAACACGUAUGCAACCUACCUAUAACUGGAGGAUAGCCCGGAGAAAUUCGGAUUAAUACUCCAUAGUAUAUUGAAGAGGCAUCUUUUUAAUAUUAAAACUACGGUGGUUAUAGAUGGGCAUGCGUUUGAUUAGCUAGUUGGUAAGGUAAUGGCUUACCAAGGCUACGAUCAAUAGGGGGUCUGAGAGGACGAUCCCCCACACUGGUACUGAGACACGGACCAGACUCCUACGGGAGGCAGCAGUAAGGAAUAUUGGACAAUGGUGGCAACACUGAUCCAGCCAUGCCGCGUGAAGGAUGAAGGACCUAUGGUUCGUAAACUUCUUUUGUAUGGGAAAAAACCUCUUUACGUGUAAAGAGCUGAUUGUACCAUAAGAAUAAGGGUCGGCUAACUUCGUGCCAGCAGCCGCGGUAAUACGAAGGACCCGAGCGUUAUCCGGAUUCAUUGGGUUUAAAGGGUGCGUAGGUGGAAUGAUAAGUCAGUGGUGAAAUCCUGCAGCUUAACUGCAGAACUGCCAUUGAUACUGUCGUUCUUGAAUACGGUUGAUGUGGGCGGAAUAUGACAUGUAGCGGUGAAAUGCUUAGAUAUGUCAUAGAACACCGAUUGCGAAGGCAGCUCACAAAGCCGUUAUUGACACUGAGGCACGAAAGCGUGGGUAGCAAACAGGAUUAGAUACCCUGGUAGUCCACGCCUUAAACGUUGAUCACUAGAUGUUGGCGAUACACAGUCAGCGUCCAAGCGAAAGUGUUAAGUGAUCCACCUGGGGAGUACGAUCGCAAGAUUGAAACUCAAAGGAAUUGACGGGGGCCCGCACAAGCGGUGGAGUAUGUGGUUUAAUUCGAUGAUACGCGAGGAACCUUACCUGGGCUUGAAAGUUAGUGACCGAUGCCGAAAGGUGUCUUCCCGCAAGGGCACGAAACUAGGUGCUGCAUGGCUGUCGUCAGCUCGUGCCGUGAGGUGUUGGGUUAAGUCCCGCAACGAGCGCAACCCCUAUCUUUAGUUGCCAGCGGUUCGGCCGGGGACUCUAAAGAAACUGCCCGCGCAAGCGGUGAGGAAGGUGGGGAUGACGUCAAGUCAGCACGGCCCUUACGUCCAGGGCUACACACGUACUACAAUGGUCGAUACAAAGGGCAGCUACACAGCAAUGUGAUGCUAAUCUCUAAAAUCGAUCUCAGUUCGGAUUGAAGGCUGCAAUUCGCCUUCAUGAAGCUGGAAUCGCUAGUAAUCGGAAAUCAGCAACGUUCCGGUGAAUACGUUCCCGGGCCUUGUACACACCGCCCGUCAAACCAUGGGAGUUGAGGGUGCCUAAAGUCGAUAUCCGCAAGGAAUCGCCUAGGGUAAAAUCAAUGACUGGGGUUAAGUCGUAACAAGGUAGCCGUACCGGAAGGUGCGGCUGGAACACCUCCUUU